rnacentral:rRNA from 1 species
UACGUAGGGUGCGAGCGUUAAUCGGAAUUACUGGGCGUAAAGCGUGCGCAGGCGGUUCGUUAAGUUCGUUGUGAAAGCCCCGGGCUCAACCUGGGAACUGCAAUGGAAACUGGCGGGCUUGAAUGCGGCAGAGGUGAGUGGAACUGCGAGUGUAGAGGUGAAAUUCGUAGAUAUUCGCAAGAACACCAGUGGCGAAGGCGGCUCACUGGCCCGGUACUGACGCUGAGGAGCGAAAGCGUGGGGAGCGAACAGG